GGUAAUGUGGUGCCGGCGGCAGCGGUAAUGCGGAGGGUCCGAGCGGUGUACUGAUUGAGUGGGCGUAAGGGGUGCGUAGGUGGCAGGGUAAGUUUGAUGUGAAAGCUCCGGGGUUAACCCGGAAACUGCAGUUAAUACUAUCGUGCUCGAGGGUUGGAGGGGGGACUGGAAUAGUUGGUGUAGCAGUGAAAUGCGUAGAUAUCAAGUGGAACACCAGUGGCGAAGGCGAGUCCCUGGACAACUCCUGACACUGAGGCACGAAAGCUAGGGGAGCAAACAGGAUUAGAUACCCCGGUAGUC
rnacentral:rRNA from 1 species